UCAAUAUCCACAAGGUUAUAAUCCACAGUAAGAGCAUUAGCAUGGUCCUUGGCAAACGCACACCAUCAGUUCCGCCAUUCCCACCUGGCUCUCAUUUCCGCGUCCCGCUUUCUCUCACCUAGUCACCUGUUCUUUUCAUUGCUUCCUAAGACCCCACCCUUCUCUUCAUCUCUUUUUUUACUUCCGUUAAUUAAAACACCACGGAAUGGAACAGACUCCGCUUCUGCGUCACUAAAUGGUAAAAUGGUAAAUGGCACACUUAUAUAGCGCUUUUAUCCAAAGCGCUUUACACUGUGUCUCAUUUACCCAUUCACACACCAAUGGUAGCAGAGCUGCCAUGCAAGGCGUUAACUUGCCAUCGGGAGCAACUUGGGGUUCAGUGUCUUGCCCAAGGACACUUUGGCAUGUGGAGUCAUGCUGGCUGGGAAUCAAACCGCCAACCCUACGAUUGGUGGACAACCCGCUCUACCACCUGAUCCACAGCCACCCCUGUCACUGGGCAGCUAUCUGUUACAAAUGAAUGGGAAAAUAUCCUUGGCAUCCCUGCAAUUCAAGGAUGUUGUAAUUGGUAAGUUGUGAUGUCAAAAGUAUCUGUACCAAGUUGAUACUAAAAUUUUAAAAAGAAUGAUACGAUAAGUUUUUUUUUCAGUACCGGCAGUACCAAGUAUUCUCCUGCUUUCUGAUUGACUUUCUUUUGUAGGUAUUAAUUAACCGUGAUUUCCACUCAGCCAUCUUACUUGAAUUUGUGUAGGUUAGGAAUAAGACUGAGGAUGGAGUUGUACAGUUUUGUAGUGUGUAUCAUUUGUAAAUAUUGUUAACUUCUUUACCAUAGCCAUGCUGAGGGAGGUGUUGACUAAAUUAGAGAUGGUGCUGGACCAACAAACCACUGAGCUUGCUUCAACUACAGGUGUUCCAGGUGCAGUCUUUGGAUACUGAUGAAGAUUUACUGCCCUGCAAGAUCUUCCUCAACUGCAUAGUCUGGAGCAAAGGAUGCAACAGAGCCCAGAUUGCAAGCAAAAACUGGUGAGAAUUUUUUUCUUUUUUUGUUAACAAUUGUUUGCACAAUUACACAGCUACUGAGAGUGUUUGUUUUCUCAAGGUGACACACUCGUACUCAAAGCACAACAUUCAACACCACUUUGAUAUGAGGGAACAGUUAUGACCUAAUCUUUGGUAGAGGAGCAAAACAUGGAAAGCACACAGGGCAGGGUAACUGCAGGAGUAGUGAGAAGCACUGACACAGUUAACGAGGCAAUACAUGCUUAUUAAUUAUUUAUAUUUUAUAUUAUUUUAUAUUAUAUUAUUGUUUUAAAAAUCAUCGGUUUCGGGUAAACUGGUUGACGCUUAUUGACAGGGCAGAUGUGCUUGACUGCACCUGGCGCAUAUUGAAGAGGGUGAUUGCUAACUCCCUGGCAAAGAACCUCAAUUGGAGGGGAGUCAAUGGAAAGACUUCACUGGCCACUCUCGAGCUUGGAGAGGUCAUGAUUGAAACCUCUUCACGGCUAAAGCUGCAGAGAUGGAGGUUGAGGGGACCAUGAAGAGGUGGCUCCAGCUGGCAUCAGAUCGAGAGUGCGGGCGCAAGAGAAGACUUUUGAAAACUUUUGCAAAAAGAAGCCCUUUCCAGUAGCGGUUAUAUGAUGUUCCGAUCCAUCUUUUCACACUGAGGACAAUCGAAGGACUCGUACACGACUAUUCCAAAAGGUGCAAACAUUCACUGAUGCUCAAGAAGACAGUGAUUAACAUUCAUCAUUUUACCUGAGAAAAAAGCGCUAUUAGGCGGCAGGUAAAGUGAACUGUACACUUACAUUUAUUCAUUUAGCAGACGUUUUUAUCCAAAGCGACUUAAAAUAAUAAAAUUGCUUAUUUACUCAUAAGAAACAUCGGUAUAUUAUGAAUAUCAUUUGAAUGGUUUAAACUAUAUAUGUAGUGUCAAUUCAGGAAUAUCAUUAUACGUUUGUAUGCCGAGUGAAAUUUCUGUUGUCUACUGUUCAGUGUCUGUUGUUUGUUCAGUAGUCAAACACACAGUAAAAUAAAGUCUUUUGGUAACAAGUGAGCAGAUCACAGUUAUGUUAGAUUAAGUUAGAAUAUAUUAGAGUAGAUGUGUAUCUUUUCAAUAGUUGUAUAAUUAAAUUUUGGGUCAUUGAUCUUUUACUCUAACAUGAAACCUGUCAAGUUAUUUUAAAAGAAUCAGUUACCAUAAUUUUACUUUACAAAACAAUACAUAACUAUGUAAAUUCUUUUUAUAUAUUUAUUUAUGUUAAUUGUUCAUAUCUAUGGGUACUAUUCAGGCCAUCAGCAUGAAGAAAAAAAAAAAUCCCUGGGAGAAUCAACGUGUCCUUCAGGAGAGGCCCAUCAGGUCAUUUACUUUGGGGCUCAUCUGAAGAGGCAAGAAGCAUUAAAGACAAUCCUUCUUUGCAAGAGAAGUCAACACCUCAAAGAAAAGAUGUGGUCAGGAACAAUACAGCCACCCGCUCCAUUCAAUCCACCUGCUAGUGGUAUUCCUGAAGACGUACCUCUGACACAGGCAGCAGUUGAGAAGACACCAAAAAAACAAAUUAGAUCCUGUUUAGCUUGUGGUCAGCCAAAUUCUCAUUACAUGGGUGAUGGCUCCUCUGUAUAUUUCUUUUAGCAGGCUGGUGAUGUUAAAUACUUCUACUGCUCCAGGAAAGUCUUUGAGGCAUACUCUGCAGAGGGCCUUCUGGUCAUCUGUGCAGGUUCUGCCACCAGCCACUAAAACAAGGACCCAAUAGCCCUCAUAUCCACACUGGUUUCCCUGGAGCGGCAGGCAAAUACAUUUACUGUCCUUCUAAAGUGCUCUCCCUGUAUCAAGUACAGGGAAUGAAUGCAGAGACGACAUGGGCAGAGUUUCAGCAGUCCUCAUUCUAUGAGGCUGAGAGCCAGAGGUGGAUUGUUGAAAAGAGAAAAUAACUUUGUUGUGAAACACAAUAUUUAUGGUCUGUGCAUGGCAUGUCUGAUUGCAAGCCAAGCACAAGGUUGAAUUUUGGUAAAUAGUUACAAAUCCUGUGUAAUACUGUUGUCCAUGAAUCGCAUUCUACUUUUUCUGUGCUCGCUCUCUCUCUCUCUACCAUUGUGGAAUUGUGUAUAGACAACAUUGUAUUUAAAAAAACAAAACAAAAUUGUCCUGUGUAUUUGUAAAUAUGUUUUAUCUAGCUUGUAUUUGUAAAUGUUUUAAAAUCUUAGUCCUUAUUUGCAAUACAUUUUCAAUAACUUACUAUAACACACUCUGCAUAUAUUAUUUAGAUAGUUAUUUUAAUUUUGACCAACUGUUAAUUUCACAUUCUUCUUUAACAGUUAAUUUUACACCCUGAAAGAGUAUCGAAAGAGUAAAUGUUGACAAUGCCGCUUUUAAAAAAUUACAUAGAUACAAUAUGUAACAGAUAAUAUAAUAUAAAUAUUUGAACCGAUGUUUUUACGUUAGGUUCGUCCGACCCUCCUCCUUCAUUUUCCUCACUUUCUAUUGGCUAGUCAGCGCUCUACACCUACGUGUGACUGGCCCCCGCGUGGCAGGUGAGAAUUCUACCACUGAACCACCAAUGCUUAUCUUAACGGAUCAACGACAGUGCAGAGUGUGCUUUUCAUUAAGUAUUGUUCUGAUUAAACAGUUUGGUUUCAAAAUAGAAAAGGAGCAUCCUAAGUCUCUUGUGUAUUUCAGCAGCACGGAGUUCGUCUAGUUUGGGCAGAAAUGAUAAGGUUUGUAAUGUUCUUUUGGUGAAGGCUUAACUUCCAAAAGUCACUUCUGCAUUGGCCAGGAAUUGAACCUGGGCCUCCCGCGUGGCGGGCGAGAAUUCUACCACUGAACCACCAAUGCUUAGUUUAAUAAGCUAAAGACUUCGCAGAGUGUGCUGUUCAGGUAAGUAUUGUGGCGCUUCAGCAAUUUGGUUUCAGAAUUGAAAAGGAGCAUCCUAAGUCUGUUGUAUAUUUCAGCAGCAUGGAGUUCGUCUAGUUUGGGCAGAAUUGAUAAGGCUUGUAAAGUUCUUUGGGUGAAGGCUCAAUAGUCAAAACUCUGCUGUACAUUGGUUGGGAAUUGAACGCGGGCCUCCUGCAUGGCAGGUGAAAAUGUUACCACUGAAACACCAAUGCUUAUUUUAAAGAACCAAAGACUUUGCAGGGUGCGAUUUACAGACGAGUAUUGCGUUCCUUCAGCAAUUUGGUUUAAAAUUCUAAAGGAGAAUUUCUUGUAUAUUUCAGCAGCAUUGAGCUCGUCCACUACCCUAGUUUGGGCAGAAUUGAUAAGGCUUGUGAAGUGCUUUGGGUGAAGACUCCAUAUGCAAAACUCUGCUGUGCAUUGGUGGGGAAUCAAACCCAGACUUCAAAGACCCUGCUGAGUGUGCUUUUUUUCAGGUAAGUAUUGUGCUGAUUCAGCAAUUUGGUUUCAUAAUUGAAAAGGAGAAUCCUAAGUCUCUUCCAUAUUUCAGCAGCACGGAGUACCCUAGUUUGGGCAGAAUUGUUAAGGCGUGUAAAGUUCUUUGGGUGAAGGCUCUUGCACCGCAAACGUCUCCAAAACUCAGUUGUGCAUUGGCCUGGAAUCUAACCCGGACUUCACAGAGGGUGCUUUCCAGGAAGCUGCCUUAAUCACGAUGAACCCAGGGUACGCAGGCAGGACCGAGCUCCGAGACAACCUGGAGGCCCGCUUCAGAUCCGUCUCUAUGAUUGUGCCCGACCACGCCGUCAUCGCAGAGGUGUGCUCGGGUGCUGUCAUUCAUUACAUUAUGUAAUGAACGCAAUAACGGAUGUAUUCUGGCGUAUUACAGAACCGUUUCCAUGUUGAACCCGCUUGUUCACGUUGUCUCUUUUGCUGUAGGUGGACUUGUGAGCUGAGGGCUUCAAGUCCAGUGAGACUCUGGCAAGGAAGAUGAUUCAGCUGUAUAAGCUGUGCAGCAAGCGGCUUUCCCGGCAGGACCACUACGACUUCGGCAUGAGAGCCAUGUUCUGUUAUCGCCAUGGCCGGGUCUCUGAAGCAAGAGAACCCACACCUGAGCGAGAACGUGGUGUUGAUUAGAGCGCUACGAUACUCCAACCUGCCCAAGUUACUCAAGGAUGACGCAGAACUUAAAAUAAAAUAAAUUGAUAAAUAGUAAAGAACGCCAAAGCUUACAUAUGGAGUAUCAAAGGUCGUUAUCACAGGAUCACUGGAAUCAGGCACUAGGAGGAAAUUCCAGGACAAAUUAGGAAAUACAGUCAAACCUUGGAUUGCGAGUAACUUGGUUUGCGAGUGUUUUGCAAGACGAACAAAAAAUUUUAAUCAAUUUUAAAUUGAUAUACGAGCGAGGUCUUGCAAUACGAGUACCUGUAGUACGUAUAUGCGGCUUUGUCUGUCGAGCGUCAUGUGAACACUACUGAGCUGAUGGUUCUUCUCUCACAUGCUCCGUCUCAGUCAUUGUGCCUCGUUGACUUGUAUAGUCAACAUCUAUGUGAGCGUAUACUGUUUGCUAUAGUGCUGUAACUGUUGUGACUGUGUAGUAACUGUACUGCGACAAUGGCCCCAUGAAGAAAAAAUUUGAAAAGGAAGGCGAUAAGAAAAAGGAGAUGAUUACGGUGGAAGUUAAGAAGGAAAUCAUCGAGAAGCACAAACGAGGUAUGCGAGUAGCUGAGUUGCGAGUAGUCAGUUGUCGAUGAAAUUGUGUCCUUGGGGAAGACCAUGGGACUGGACGUGAAUGAAGACGACAUUCAAGAGCUGGUGGAGGAACAUGGCCAGGAGCUGACCACUGACGAACUGAUGGAUCUGCAUCACGAGCAACAGCAAGAGGUUAUGGGGGAGGUCUCGUCUGAGGAGGAGAAAAAGACGGAGAAAUCCCUCACUUCAAAUGAGAUUAAGGAGGUGUGUAAAAUGUGGGAAACAGCGCAAAAUUUUGUAGAAAAGCACCACCCGAGUAAGACUGUAGCAGUGCGAGCGAUGAAUCUGUUUAACGACAAUGUAAUGUCACAUUUCCGCGAAAUCCUUAAAAGGAGGCAAAAGCAAGUGUCACUGGAUAGGUGCCUUGUUAACGUUGUACAAAAAGAAAAAGAUUCCGGCGGGCCAACAGACAGCAGUGAUUCCAUUAGUAACAGUGAAAGUCCCCCUACACAAUAAUGAAUAAAUUUGAUUACUUUAUAUUAAAUUUAAAUAAUAAAAAUAUAAAAUGGUAUUUUGUGUUAAUCAUUAUUAUGUAUAUGAAUAUUUUUGGGUUUUGGAACAAAUUAUCUGAGUUUCCACUAUGUCUUAUGGGGAAAUUCGCUUUGAUAUACGAGUGCUUUGGAUUACGAGCACGUUUCCGGAACGAAUUAUGCUCGCAAUCCAAGGUUUGACUGUACAAUUAACUGACAUUUGCAAAUUCUUUGCAACUAAAAAGCUGUAAUUAUAUACUAUAUAACUUUUUUUUUAAAGCAUUUAAAGUAUAUAACAUUAGCACCUUGUAAUGUUAUACCAGAAGAAAAGUAAAGAAUCCUGGAACAUCUGAACAUCCAUAAUCUGAAAAUCUUGACCCUAGUGUCAAUCGAGUCAAUCCAAUCUUUCUUGUGUGCGUUUAGUGGUAUUCUGUCGGACCUCUUUCCUGGUGUGGGCAUCCCCGAGCACGACUACGGCGCGCUUCAGUCGAACAUCGAGGCAGCUCUAUGCGCCCGCUCCCUGCAGCCCGUCUCCAGCAUGACCGCCAAGGUGAUCCAGCUGUACGAGACCAUGCUGGUGCACCAGGGCGUCUUGCUGGUGGGCCCUACAAGAGGCGGUAAGACCACGGCGUACCGUGCCCUCGCUGAUGCACCCUCCACGAGACAGAGGGCUGCGAGGUGAAUCCCUUCUACAAGCCCAUCGAGACCUACAUGCUCAACCCACAGUCAGUGAGCAUGGACGAGCUGUAUGGUGAAGACGACCCUCUCACACUGGAGUGUAGUGCCAUCAAACCGUCCCUCGGCAGUGACACCGCCGACACGCACAAGUGGGUGGUGAGUGACGUACCUGUGGACGUGCCUGUGGAUUGAGAAAAUUACCGCCGUUUUGGACAACAACAAGACGCUCUGUCUGGCUAACGGUGAAAGGAUCAAGCUCACACCUUCUACACACAUGUUAUUUGAGGUGUUACCCAUCAGACACAGAUAGCACUGGUCCUAAAAACCAUCACAAACAAGCCCAAGCAUGUCAUUUCCAAGAAGAUUUUUUUUUUUUUUUUACAUUAAACGCGUUCCUGAAGGAAAGGUCACACACGAACGUAUCUUUAAGACUUCACUCUUUCACACGCCUAUAACGAGCGAUAAACGCAUUCGAAGCAUGUUAUAAAGCCUCCGUAAUGCAUUAUGCAUAGUAUUUAAAUUAAUAUUAUUACAAUAACAUGCACUACACUACAUUAUGCACAAUAGAUUUGAAGUCUUGGCUGACUCUGGACCAAUAAGGGAACCUGCAAAUGUAAGUGAAAACCAAAUUCAAGGUGUCUCAAAUCAAAAACUGCUGUAGAUUUAACAUUGACAAAAUAUUUCAAAUUGUUACAGGCUCUACAUCAUUCAGAAAUUCUGGCGGCCACAACACCGGCUAAUCCUUAUCCACCAAGUGUGUUCAGACAGGUCACAAAAUCCUUCAUUAAACUUUCUCCAAACCAGUCAACACUGGAAAAGGUCAAACAAAACAGCACAGUGGAUGGACAAUAAUAUAGAGAUCUUAAAAGAACACUACAAUGAAGUAAUAGCAACCAUUUUGUCUGAAGUAAGAGAAUUGGACAUUCAGGCUUUCAACAGAGCAGCAACCUGGAGCAAAACAAGAUAUAGAAAGAAAUUCACAGCGAGUUCAGCACAGAGCCUGAAAUCAAUGUUAACAGAAAUGCCAAAAAAGUCACUCACCCCAUUGGCUGAAUCCUUCAAUGACCCUGAAUCGUUUCCACCUCUUAAACCGAGUACGCAACCUGUUAUGGGUUCCUAUGCGGGGACCGUAAGGGAAAAUAGGGGGUUCGGUAGAGAGGGGAAAGCCAGACUUUCAUUAACCCCAACACAGGAUGGCCCUAAAGGAAAAAGGGGAGAAAGGAACUUAAAACAACAUGCAGAACAAACAGUAGAAGUGCCUAUGGUUACAGAUUUAACUAAGGAACUACAAAUAAUAAUGUAAGAGAAACCAGUUAGUUUACCAUCAACCUCUACUCUACUGAGGGAGGACCUGGAGAGCAGGAAACAAACCAAGCAGCUUGAACCAUACAGCAAUGUAGUGUGUUAGGAAAGUGGUUUCAAUGGUAUGAAGACCUGCUGGAGGAACUUGCAAUCAGAGAUGUUCCAUCACAUCUGUGGAAUUGUGAUGUAUUUGUUGUGCAAGACCAGUUUUACUCUACCCGUGUGGUUGGGGAGGUGGGUAAACCCUGUGUAGAGGUUACUGCUGGGGAGAAAGGAGAGACCACGACAGUCCUUCAGCAUUCAAUGCAGCAGGAACAUUUAGGGUGUGCUGUUGUCAGUGCAACUCAUUGUACCACGAGAGCUGUGGAGAUGUGCUUUCUAUUAAAUGAAAUAUAUUUACGGUGUUGCUGCUAUGGCACACUCAACACAAUAGUGUCAAUUUACUGUUAAAAUUAAAAUGAUUUCAGUCAAAAUUACCUGUUAUCUUUUUAUAUUGGCCCAUUUUAACUGAACAACCGGCCCAAUUUGCCUGAACAUUGGACUGAACAUUUUAAGAAUUCAUGCUGGUUUUAUUUUCUAAUUUAUUUGACUUUUUUUAUUCUAUGGUAUGCUGGUAUGGCAAGAAAUAAAUUAUAAAUGCUACUUACCUUUUAAUGGUGUUUUCAAACUCUGUGUGUGUGUUUUUACAUAAUCUGUUUACAGUGAAUUCUAUAAAAGAUUGGGUAUGAAUGUGGAUUUAAAGAUAAACAGCUUUAAUCUCUAUGGUUACGUGAACACAGUACACUAAGUAAAGAUCUCUGCAUAUGGGUGGACUGAAAAUGAGGAGAUGGGGCAGGCUCAAAAAUCAGUUCUUUAUUUUCCUUCACUAUUUAUGUCUCUUUUCAGGAAUUUUAUUUCACUAUGCACAUAUCUAGACACACAGCUGACCUGUUGCUGUCCUGUGUCUGUCCUCUCUCUCCCCGUUUUAUCCUGCUCAUUGAAACAUAGAACACCUGUUACAAAAUCCUGCACAGGUGUAGAUCCUUACCACUCACUUUUCCCUGGCUCCGCCCUCCAUUCACAAACCGGUGUUCAACCAAACCCUGCCUCCACAAAUAAGUAGUAGGGAACUUCUAUAUUUCCCAGUCUACCUCAUUUCCCUGCUUAUUAUGAUGCUUCAUAAAAACACCAUUUAGUACACAUAAAAUCCAUCAGUCCAUCAUUUAACCAUAGGUGUGAGGUGUUUCAUGCAUCUCUUCGUGUAAAUCCCUUCACUUUUCCUUUCUUCACUUACUGUAUUUCCAGUCUUUCCCAAUUAACCUGAACCAUGUUGUCUAGAAUUACCAAACCAUGUCUGAAAAUGAUUCAACUAUAAACAUAUGUACAUGACAGAUUAUUAAUCAUUAUGCUUACUGUUUACAGUAAUUACAUACACUUUGUUAGUGUUUAGUGGUAUUGCCUGUUCAUUGAUUGAACUUGGGGUAGCCUUCCACAAGCUUCUCAUGAUUUGCUGUAAUUUGUGCUCAUUCCUCCUUGCCUUGCUUUACAUUUUAUUUUUCCCCAAUAACCUGUGUUCAAUUCCCCUUACUCGCCCUACUAGGCCAAAACCAGUGUGCACUUGCAGCAUGAGGAGACGAGUGUGUAGUAGGGUGUUGUUU